UACGAAGGGUGCAAACGUUGCUCGGAAUUAUUGGGCGUAAAGGGCGCGUAGGCGGCUUUUCAAGUGACGGGUGAAAUCCCUCGGCUUAACCGAGGAACUGCCUGUCAGACUGGAAGGCUUGAGACCGGGAGAGGUGAGUGGAAUUCCCAGUGUAGCGGUGAAAUGCGUAGAUAUUGGGAGGAACACCAGUGGCGAAGGCGGCUCACUGGACCGGAACUGACGCUGAGGCGCGAAAGCGUGGGGAGCAAACAGG
rnacentral:rRNA from 1 species